GGGAGCGGUGCCGGGAGGCGGGGCUGGGGACGGCUGGGGCCUUCCGGGAGAGUGGCUGCGGACUCCGCCUGCCUGAGCUGCCAGCCUGGUGACACGUGCAAAGGAAGCACCACGAAGGAGCAGGUCUGCAUGGAGGCCAUCAAGCUAGCUAUGAAACUGCAAGCCAUGCGAUGAGUUCAGAGCCAGCAAGGCCAGCUGAAGAUCCUGCCCAGGAAGGAUCCUGCAGGACCCCAUCGCUGAGCCCCCUGGGGAAGAGAAGGGUUUCCUUCUGAGAGGGCCCUGCAUUGGCGGUUGUGGCUGUGGUGAGCAUCUGGCUUGUCCUCAGUGCCUGGCCAAAACGGAACUGGAAGAAGAGGCUGGCCCAAACAGGACUGCAAUGCUCCCCUCUGUGACGUGCAUGGGUGUGCAGGGACACAAGCUCCAGGCCCCCAUCUGGGGACAUGCAGGCAGAAUAGAGGAAGGAUGCCAGGCACUGUAGGCUCAGACCAUGUCAAAAAUUGGUCUGGAACCAUAGGGCCUUUUGCUUCACAUGCAGGAUCAAAAGUCUAAAGAGCCUGGAAGAAGGGAAAUAAAAAAGAAGAAACCAUGCCAGAGUAGCUUGUCUUCUGCUGGACAGUUGCUGUCUCUCAUUUCCUCUGGCAAUAUAUUCCAUGGCCUCCACACCUGAGAUCUAGAAUCUGGUCUAGAAUCAGCCACGGAAUGUUGAUUUGCAAAUACUCUUUCAAGUCAGUUCCCUAUCAGUUCUCCAUGAAUGGGGAUAGUAAGUGCUACUACACUAAGGAAGUUAGUCUAAGCCUGAUGGCAUUUAGCGAGAGUGCUCAACAGGAAUCGUCAUCACACUUCAUUAUUCUUGGUUUUACAACCUGAAGUACUUGGUUCAUGAAGAAGCACUGAAGAGUUCCAGCUCCCUUUGCCUCCUGCUUCUCCUUCCUCUCUGGCCAACACCAUGGGAAAGACACAAGGUUAUCCAGCCUGCUGUCAGUAGAAAAAGGCUGACUGCACUUCUUGCCAAGAAAGCUUCUUGCUGCAAUGACAGGGGUGCUGCUCUCGAGUGAGAAACCGAGGGAAAGGAAUGGAAAAUACAUAAUUCAGGAGUCUCACACUGCCUGAAGCAGCUAGCUAACCUGGUCCCAGAGAAGGGUCUGUGCAGUGCAGAAGCUCCCCCAGGAAGCCUCUGGCAAAGGCUGUCUUGCUGCAGUCAGGAGACUGAGCCCACAACUGUUGCCAAGGAGUGCUUCCGCCUAGACAAGCCUCCUUCCCCAAAAUGCAGGGUCAUCUCCUUCACACUGCUGAUCUCUGCACCUACCUGGGAGACAGGAAUGAGCAGUAACAAGCUUCCCAGAGGGAUGAAACACACACACAGACAGCACCCUGCCCAGGGCACAGAGCCCAGGAUUGCACCCAAACUCCAACAUCCCACAGCCAGAGUUCCCUGCAGACCCACCCUAAAAUACAUUUUUUAGGUGCCACCUGAAGGUUCAUUUCUCCAGUUAAUUCCUGAAUCCUCACGACCAAUAACAUAAUAAAGUUGGGAUAACCCCAGGACAGGAGAAGUCCCCACCAUAUUAUCUGUCCCACAGUGGGUGUGAUCCAGGUUUAAGGCACGCAGUGAAACCUGAAGCAGUACUGGCCCCAGUGGCACACCCACACAGCUCAAUGCCCAGCCCAGGCUAGGAUCCUUGACAUCCCAGUUCCAAACUGGGUGAGGUGGGGAGGAGGUCCCGCUUGGGAUUGGUGAGGAGCAGGCAGGAGUGUGCAGGACAAUGCACUACCAUUAGGCACAUUCCAUAGGCACAGAGUUGCCUCCAGCAGGGUUCUGAGUUGCACUCGGGUUCCCAGUAGCCCUCAGAGACUCCCAGUUACACCCAGAGGCUCUUAAAGGGUUUGCAGUUGCUCCCAGUUUCCUACAAAGGUUCUGGGUUGCCCCUCAGGGUUCGUAGUUGCUUCCACAAGGCUCUGGGAUGUUCCACCUUCCCCUUCAGAGGCUCCCAGGGUGACAGUGUCCCUUGUGCCUGUGUCCCAUCUCAUGUAGCUAGGCUUCCUGCAGCAUUCGCAGGCGUGCGAGGCAGUGCUUCCCAGAUUUACCACUUAUUUAACAUGUAUUUGGUUGGAAGGAGGGAAGUUGUAUUUCCUAAGUGCAAGGAUUGCUCAUGGCAAGAUGGAAAUUAAAAACGAAAUGAAAAAAAAAAAAACAAACAAAUUUGCUGGAUUUGGGCUGGAUUUGACUGCAUUGGAACAAUUCAAAACUCCUGAAUACCUGCAGUAUAUUGAUGACAUCAGUGUGUGGGCCACACAGCAGAGGAAGUGUUCGAGAAAGGCAGAAUAAUAAUCCAGGUUCUUCUGAAAGUGGUUUUUGCCAUAAAACAAAAGUCAAAUGACCUUCAUAGGAGCCCCAGUUUUUAGGAAUAAAAUAGUAAGACGGGUGUCCUCCAUAUUCCACUGGAUGAGACCGAAAAGAUCAGUUAGGUCUCCAUCAACUAACAAAAAUAAGCACAGGCUUUCUUAGGUGUCAUGGGGUUUUGGGUAAUACAAAUCCCAGGUCACAGUCUGAUUUUAAACCCUUGCUAUCAAGUGACCUAGAAGAAGAAUAAUGCUUUACACUUCAGCCAGGGACAACAGUCUGACCUGGAACCUCUGGCAGAAAGCACCUGGAAAGACUUGAGGUUCUCCUCUGGGGUUUUGCAACCAGGGAUAUACAGGAUCUGUGAUUAUGAAUCUCACCUACACCUUCUACUUAAGCCUGAGACCAGGUCUGUAACAUGCAGCCAGCGAACAUGUCUCCCAGACAGCUGUGGCCCAAAGCUAAAGCAGUUUGCAACCCUCACCUUCAUGUGACACCCCCUUUGCAUACCACAAACCCCUGCAGCUCUGAACACAUUCUACCACCUCACCUACACCCUCAUUCUAGCAAGAACAGAGGAAAACUAUGACAGCUGUCAGCAAUGUUUCCCAUACAGGUAAGGCCAAACUAAAAGCUUUGAACAACCCUCACCUUUCCCCUAUAGCCGCAUCCAUGCCCCACAACUAGAGCCUAGAUUGCAAACACACACACAGGGUUCUGCUCUUUGUCCUGAACGUACGUCUAAGCUUCACCUAAUCCUAGCCAGAGUCCAGGUCCAACAGGAAUGCUGCCAGCUAUGGCGCCCAAGAAAAAGUGCCCAAAACAAAGCUUUUCGCAGCCCUCACCUUCCUUGGCAGACUUUUUGCAGUUUUUGUAGCACUGGGGCUAUGUAAUUUGUCUUGCAUUGAAUCCUAACCCUUUUCCUGACCCUCACUCUAUGCUAAGAGAACGUAUAAAACGUGCCUCAUCAGCAAUCACUGUCUGCCCCGCACCAGAUCUUAAGACUAAUGUCAAUCUUCAUCGGUUCCUAAUAUACUGGAAAAGGAAGGAGUACAAUUAAACAUUUCUCAUGGAAGGACUCCAGCACAGUUUUUAAUAGGGUCAGAGACUCCAUGCCAAAAAAGACUUGUUAAAAUCUCUAUACCUGACAUACCAAAAGUAUGCAUAUACAA